UACGUAGGGGGCGAGCGUUGUCCGGAUUUAUUGGGCGUAAAGAGCGUGUAGGCGGCCAGGUAGGUCUGCUGUGAAAACUCGAGGCUCAACCUCGAGACGUCGGCGGAAACCAUCUGGCUAGAGUCCGGAAGAGGAGAGUGGAAUUCCUGGUGUAGCGGUGAAAUGCGCAGAUAUCAGGAAGAACACCCGUGGCGAAGGCGGCUCUCUGGGACGGAACUGACGCUGAGACGCGAAAGCGUGGGGAGCGAACAGG
rnacentral:rRNA from 1 species